GGCAGUGUAGCCAAGUGGUUACGGCGUCACGUUUAGGCAUUCGUGCAAUACCGUGAUGGGUUUCCCGCGCGAGUUCGAAUCUCGUCACUGUCA
rnacentral:tRNA from 1 species